AGGAAUUGGGGCUUGAAUGUCCUUGCUUUGACUGCGCCUCUGCCCUCCCGAAAGGUUGGGGUGCGAAUGCAAAAAUGUACCAUUUUGUUACUUUGGCUUUGAACAGCCUCCACGGGAAAUUAUCACUGUUUUCUUUAACCCGCCUUUGGUGGACAACUUUCCUGGAAAGCUAAUACCUAAGGUCAGGGGCCAGGAGGGUGACUGUCCCUGCAGGUUUCUCUCUUCAGGGAGACGCCGUCCUGCGGCACUCUCCAGCUCUCUGCUUUUCCUCCAUGCUCUCCAAGGACCCUUCGGAUGUUUAUUCACUUCACCUCGUAGGCGCACCACAGGAGGAAGACGUGGUGUCAGCAGACCCGAGAAUCCAGUCCACGUGAUAAUCAUAUUUCUCACGGAUGGUUUCAUCCAUACCGCUAGAUCAUUGAAUUGUCACCGUUAGACAUCACCUGUUAACUCCAGUUAAGGUAGGCAAUGUUUUAGCUCUGUAUACCUUCUCAGCCCUUCUUCCUUCCCACAACAUAGUGACAUAACUAUUUUUUAAUUUAUCUUACUUUAGUGAAAAUACGUAAACCCCUCUUUCUUGUUUUGUCAACUCUGAUUUCUCACUUUCUAAGUUAAGGAUAUCAGAUAGACCUCUGCUCCUCUGCUGUUCUCUCGGC
rnacentral:lncRNA from 1 species